AAUUCUCAAUCUCCCCAAAGCUUUAAUGUUCUGAGGAGUUUGGAUUGUGGAGGUUAUUGCAGGCCCCUCGAGGUCAGCUCCUCUGAAAUUCAUUAGCGGAACCAUUUGCGAUCCAUCACAGGUGUGAUAAUUAUCUAUGCCUAUAGGGUUGCUCUUGAAUGUUCAGCUCACAAUUGUCCGUAAGGACAGCUUACUGAAC
rnacentral:misc_RNA from 1 species